AGGAAGGAGAGAGAGAGAGAGAGAAAGAUAAAAAAAAAACUUUUCUUCCCGAUUUUUAAUACGCUUCGCUCGAUACGAUUCACGAUCGUUCGUUUCCCCCCCC